rnacentral:rRNA from 1 species
GAUGAACGCUGGCGGCGUGCCUAAUACAUGCAAGUCGAGCGAACGGACGAGAAGCUUGCUUCUCUGAUGUUAGCGGCGGACGGGUGAGUAACACGUGGAUAACCUACCUAUAAGACUGGGAUAACUUCGGGAAACCGGAGCUAAUACCGGAUAAUAUUUUGAACCGCAUGGUUCAAAAGUGAAAGACGGUCUUGCUGUCACUUAUAGAUGGAUCCGCGCUGCAUUAGCUAGUUGGUAAGGUAACGGCUUACCAAGGCAACGAUGCAUAGCCGACCUGAGAGGGUGAUCGGCCACACUGGAACUGAGACACGGUCCAGACUCCUACGGGAGGCAGCAGUAGGGAAUCUUCCGCAAUGGGCGAAAGCCUGACGGAGCAACGCCGCGUGAGUGAUGAAGGUCUUCGGAUCGUAAAACUCUGUUAUUAGGGAAGAACAUAUGUGUAAGUAACUGUGCACAUCUUGACGGUACCUAAUCAGAAAGCCACGGCUAACUACGUGCCAGCAGCCGCGGUAAUACGUAGGUGGCAAGCGUUAUCCGGAAUUAUUGGGCGUAAAGCGCGCGUAGGCGGUUUUUUAAGUCUGAUGUGAAAGCCCACGGCUCAACCGUGGAGGGUCAUUGGAAACUGGAAAACUUGAGUGCAGAAGAGGAAAGUGGAAUUCCAUGUGUAGCGGUGAAAUGCGCAGAGAUAUGGAGGAACACCAGUGGCGAAGGCGACUUUCUGGUCUGUAACUGACGCUGAUGUGCGAAAGCGUGGGGAUCAAACAGGAUUAGAUACCCUGGUAGUCCACGCCGUAAACGAUGAGUGCUAAGUGUUAGGGGGUUUCCGCCCCUUAGUGCUGCAGCUAACGCAUUAAGCACUCCGCCUGGGGAGUACGACCGCAAGGUUGAAACUCAAAGGAAUUGACGGGGACCCGCACAAGCGGUGGAGCAUGUGGUUUAAUUCGAAGCAACGCGAAGAACCUUACCAAAUCUUGACAUCCUUUGACAACUCUAGAGAUAGAGCCUUCCCCUUCGGGGGGGCAAAGUGACAGGUGGUGCAUGGUUGUCGUCAGCUCGUGUCGUGAGAUGUUGGGUUAAGUCCCGCAACGAGCGCAACCCUUAAGCUUAGUUGCCAUCAUUAAGUUGGGCACUCUAAGUUGACUGCCGGUGACAAACCGGAGGAAGGUGGGGAUGACGUCAAAUCAUCAUGCCCCUUAUGAUUUGGGCUACACACGUGCUACAAUGGACAAUACAAAGGGCAGCGAAACCGCGAGGUCAGGCAAAUCCCAUAAAGUUGUUCUCAGUUCGGAUUGUAGUCUGCAACUCGACUACAUGAAGCUGGAAUCGCUAGUAAUCGUAGAUCAGCAUGCUACGGUGAAUACGUUCCCGGGUCU